rnacentral:rRNA from 2 species
GUUGUAUGGUUAAGUGACUAAGCGUACACGGUGGAUGCCUUGGCAGUCAGAGGCGAUGAAAGACGUAGUAACUUGCGAUAAGCCCAGAUUAGGUAGUAACAACCAUUUGAGUCUGGGAUUUCUGAAUGGGGAAACCCACGUGCAUAAGCACGUAUCCUUACCUGAAUACAUAGGGUAAGGAGGCGAACCGGGGGAACUGAAACAUCUAAGUACCCCGAGGAAAAGAAAUCAACCGAGAUUCCGAAAGUAGCGGCGAGCGAAAUUGGACUAGCCCUUAAGCUUUACACGCGUUAGACGAACGGUCUGGAAAGUCCGACGAUACAGGGUGAUAGUCCCGUAGUUGACGACGUGUGUUCAGUGAAAUCGAGUAGGGCGGGACACGUGAUAUCCUGUCUGAAUAUGGGGGGACCAUCCUCCAAGGCUAAAUACUACUGACUGACCGAUAGUGAACCAGUACCGUGAGGGAAAGGCGAAAAGAACCCCUGUGAGGGGAGUGAAAUAGAACCUGAAACCGUGUACGUACAAGCAGUAGGAGCAGGCUUUGUCCUGUGACUGCGUACCUUUUGUAUAAUGGGUCAGCGACUUAUAUUCAGUGGCAAGGUUAACCAUCUAGGGGAGCCGUAGGGAAACCGAGUCUUAACUGGGCGUUCAGUCUCUGGAUAUAGACCCGAAACCAGGUGAUCUAGCCAUGGGCAGGUUGAAGGUUGAGUAACAUCAACUGGAGGACCGAACCGACUAAUGUUGAAAAAUUAGCGGAUGACUUGUGGCUAGGGGUGAAAGGCCAAUCAAACCUGGAGAUAGCUGGUUCUCCCCGAAAGCUAUUUAGGUAGCGCCUCGGACGAAUACUACUGGGGGUAGAGCACUGUUAAGGCUAGGGGGUCAUCCCGACUUACCAACCCUUUGCAAACUCCGAAUACCAGUAAGUACUAUCCGGGAGACACACGGCGGGUGCUAACGUCCGUCGUGGAGAGGGAAACAACCCAGACCGCCAGCUAAGGUCCCAAAUUACUACUAAGUGGGAAACGAUGUGGGAAGGCUCAGACAGCCAGGAUGUUGGCUUAGAAGCAGCCAUCAUUUAAAGAAAGCGUAAUAGCUCACUGGUCGAGUCGGCCUGCGCGGAAGAUGUAACGGGGCUAAGUAGUAAACCGAAGCUGCGGCAAUAUACUUUUGUAUAUUGGGUAGGGGAGCGUUCUGUAAGCGGUUGAAGGUGUGUGGUAACGCAUGCUGGACGUAUCAGAAGUGCGAAUGCUGACAUGAGUAACGAUAAAGGGGGUGAAAAACCUCCUCGCCGGAAGACCAAGGGUUCCUGUCCAACGUUAAUCGGGGCAGGGUAAGUCGACCCCUAAGGCGAGGCCGAAAGGCGUAGUCGAUGGGAAACGGGUUAAUAUUCCCGUACUUCUUACAAUUGCGAUGGGGGGACGGAGAAGGCUAGGUGGGCCUGGCGACGGUUGUCCAGGUUCAAGUGCGUAGGCUUAAGAGUUAGGUAAAUCCGGCUCUUUUUAAGGCUGAGACACGACGUCGAGCACCUACGGGUGUGAAGUCAUUGAUGCCAUGCUUCCAGGAAAAGCCUCUAAGCUUCAGAUUGUAAGGAAUCGUACCCCAAACCGACACAGGUGGUCGGGUAGAGAAUACCAAGGCGCUUGAGAGAACUCGGGUGAAGGAACUAGGCAAAAUGGUACCGUAACUUCGGGAGAAGGUACGCUCUUGAUGGUGAAGUCCCUUGCGGAUGGAGCUGACGAGAGUCGCAGAUACCAGGUGGCUGCAACUGUUUAUUAAAAACACAGCACUGUGCAAAAUCGUAAGAUGACGUAUACGGUGUGACGCCUGCCCGGUGCCGGAAGGUUAAUUGAUGGGGUUAGACUUCGGUCGAAGCUCUUGAUCGAAGCCCCGGUAAACGGCGGCCGUAACUAUAACGGUCCUAAGGUAGCGAAAUUCCUUGUCGGGUAAGUUCCGACCUGCACGAAUGGCGUAAUGAUGGCCACGCUGUCUCCACCCGAGACUCAGUGAAAUUGAAAUCGCUGUGAAGAUGCAGUGUACCCGCGGCUAGACGGAAAGACCCCGUGAACCUUUACUACAGCUUGGCACUGAACAUUGACCCUACAUGUGUAGGAUAGGUGGGAGGCUUUGAAGCACGUACGCCAGUAUGUGUGGAGCCGUCCUUGAAAUACCACCCUUGUAGUGUUGAUGUUCUAACGUCGACCCCUUAUCGGGGUUGCGGACAGUGCCUGGUGGGUAGUUUGACUGGGGCGGUCUCCUCCCAAAGAGUAACGGAGGAGCACGAAGGUGGGCUAAUCACGGUUGGACAUCGUGAGGUUAGUGCAAUGGCAUAAGCCCGCUUGACUGCGAGAAUGACAAUUCGAGCAGGUGCGAAAGCAGGUCAUAGUGAUCCGGUGGUUCUGAAUGGAAGGGCCAUCGCUCAACGGAUAAAAGGUACUCCGGGGAUAACAGGCUGAUACCGCCCAAGAGUUCAUAUCGACGGCGGUGUUUGGCACCUCGAUGUCGGCUCAUCACAUCCUGGGGCUGAAGUCGGUCCCAAGGGUAUGGCUGUUCGCCAUUUAAAGUGGUACGCGAGCUGGGUUUAGAACGUCGUGAGACAGUUCGGUCCCUAUCUGCCGUGGGCGUUGGAAGAUUGAAGGGGGCUGCUCCUAGUACGAGAGGACCGGAGUGGACGAACCUCUGGUGUUCGGGUUGUGUCGCCAGACGCAUUGCCCGGUAGCUAAGUUCGGAAUCGAUAACCGCUGAAAGCAUCUAAGCGGGAAGCGAGCCCUGAGAUGAGUCUUCCCUGAUACUUUAAGUAUCCUAAAGGGUUGUCGGAGACUACGACGUUGAUAGGUCAGGUGUGUAAGUGCUGUGAGGCAUUGAGCUAACUGAUACUAAUUGCCCGUGAGGCUUAACCAUACAACACCCAAGGGGUUU